rnacentral:rRNA from 1 species
GCUUGCUCUUAUGAAGUUAGCGGCGGACGGGUGAGUAACACGUGGGCAACCUGCCCGUAAGACUGGGAUAACUCCGGGAAACCGGGGCUAAUACCGGAUAACAUUUUGAACCGCAUGGGACAAAAUUGAAAGGUGGCUUCGGCUGUCACUUAUGGAUGGACCCGCGUCGCAUUAGCUAGUUGGUGAGGUAACGGCUCACCAAGGCAACGAUGCGUAGCCGACCUGAGAGGGUGAUCGGCCACACUGGGACUGAGACACGGCCCAGACUCCUACGGGAGGCAGCAGUAGGGAAUCUUCCGCAAUGGACGAAAGUCUGACGGAGCAACGCCGCGUGAGUGAUGAAGGCUUUCGGGUCGUAAAACUCUGUUGUUAGGGAAGAACAAGUGCUAGAUGAAUAAGCUGGCACCUUGACGGUACCUAACCAAAAAGCCACGGUUAACUACGUGCCAGCACCCGCGGUAAUACGUAGGGGGCAAGCGUUAUCCGGAAUUAUUGGGGGUAAAGCGCGCCCAGGUGGUUCCUUAAUUCUAAUGUGAAAGCCCACGGUUCA